GAUGAAGAACGCAGCGAAAUGCGAUAAGUAGUGUGAAUUGCAGAAUUCAGUGAAUCAUCGAAUCUUUGAACGCACAUUGCGCCCCUUGGUAUUCCGGGGGGCAUGCCUGUUCGAGCGUCAUUAUAACCCCUCAAGCUCAGCUUGGUGUUGGGGCCUGCCGACUGGCAGCCCUUAAAAUCAGUGGCGGCGCCAUCUGGCUCUAAGCGUAGUAAUUUCUCUCGCUAUAGAGUCCCGGUGGAUGCUUGCCAGCAACCCCCAACUUUCUAUGGUUGACCUCGGAUCAGGUAGGGAUACCCGCUGAACUUAAGCAUAUCAAUAAGCGGAGGA
rnacentral:misc_RNA from 1 species